rnacentral:rRNA from 1 species
CCUACGGGAGGCAGCAGUGAGGAAUAUUGGGCAAUGGACGCAAGCCUGACCCAGCAACGCAGCGUGAAGGAAGACGGCUUUCGGGUUGUAAACUUCUUUUAAGAGGGAAGAGCAGAAGACGAUACCUCUUGAAUAAGCCACGGCUAACUACGUGCCAGCAGCCGCGGUAAUACGUAGGUGGCAAGCGUUAUCCGGAUUUACUGGGUGUAAAGGUCGUGUAGCCGGGCUGACAAGUCAGAUGUGAAAUUCCGGGGCUCAACCCCGGACCUGCAUUUGAAACUGUUGGUCUUGAGUAUCGUAGAGGUAGGCGGAAUUCCUAGUGUAGCGGUGAAAUGCGUAGAUAUUAGGAGGAACACCAGUGGCGAAGGCGGCUUGCUGGACGACAACUGACGGUGAGGCGCGAAAGCGUGGGGAGCAAACAGGAUUAGAUACCCUGGUAGUC